GAUGGACGCUGGCGGCGUGCCUAAUACAUGCAAGUCGAGCGAACAGAUAAGGAGCUUGCUCCUUUGACGUUAGCGGCGGACGGGUGAGUAACACGUGGGUAACCUACCUAUAAGACUGGAAUAACUCCGGGAAACCGGGGCUAAUGCCGGAUAACAUUUAGAACCGCAUGGUUCUAAAGUGAAAGAUGGUUUUGCUAUCACUUAUAGAUGGACCCGCGCCGUAUUAGCUAGUUGGUAAGGUAACGGCUUACCAAGGCAACGAUACGUAGCCGACCUGAGAGGGUGAUCGGCCACACUGGAACUGAGACACGGUCCAGACUCCUACGGGAGGCAGCAGUAGGGAAUCUUCCGCAAUGGGCGAAAGCCUGACGGAGCAACGCCGCGUGAGUGAUGAAGGUCUUCGGAUCGUAAAACUCUGUUAUUAGGGAAGAACAAAUGUGUAAGUAACUGUGCACGUCUUGACGGUACCUAAUCAGAAAGCCACGGCUAACUACGUG
rnacentral:rRNA from 1 species